UACGUAGGCAGCAAGCGUUGUUCGGAAUUACUGGGCGUAAAGAGUGUGUAGGCGGUUGGGUAAGUCUGGUGUGAAAUCUCCCGGCUCAACUGGGAGGGUGCGCCGGGAACUGCCUGGCUGGAGUGCGGUAGAGGAGAGUGGAAUUCCCGGUGUAGCGGUGAAAUGCGUAGAUAUCGGGAGGAACCCCUGUGGUGAAGGCGGCUCUCUGGACCGUUACUGACGCUGAGCCGCGAAAGCGUGGGGAGCAAACAGG
rnacentral:rRNA from 1 species